UACGGGGGGGGGCAAGCGUUGUUCGGAAUUACUGGGCGUAAAGGGUGCGUAGGCGGUUCACUAAGUUGGAUGUGAAAACUAUGGGCUCAACUCAUAGCUUGCAUCCAAUACUGAUGGACUAGAGUUCUGGAGGGGGUAGCGGAAUUCCUGGUGUAGCGGUGAAAUGCGUAGAUAUCGAGAGGAACACCUGCGGCGAAGGCGGGUUGCUGGGCUGACACUGACGCUGAGGCGCGAAAGCUAGGGGAGCGAACGGG
rnacentral:rRNA from 1 species